rnacentral:rRNA from 1 species
GACGAACGCUGGCGGCGUGCUUAACACAUGCAAGUCGAGCGGUAAGGCCCUUCGGGUACGACGAGCGGCGAACGGGUGAGUAACACGUGGGUGACCUGCCCUUACGCUCUGGGAUAAGCCUGGGAAACUGGGUCUAAUACCGGAUAUGACCUCAUGACGCAUGUUGUGGGGUGGAAAGCCUUGUGCGGCUAGGGAUGGGCCCGCGGCCUAUCAGCUUGUUGGUGGGGUGAUGGCCACCAAGGCGACGACGGGUAGCCGGCCUGAGAGGGCGACCGGCCACACUGGGACUGAGACACGGCCCAGACUCCUACGGGAGGCAGCAGUGGGGAAUCUUGCGCAAUGGGCGAAAGCCUGACGCAGCGACG